rnacentral:rRNA from 1 species
GUGGGGAAUCUUAGACAAUGGGGGAAACCCUGAUCUAGCCAUGCCGCGUGAGCGAUGAAGGCCUUAGGGUUGUAAAGCUCUUUCAGCUGGGAAGAUAAUGACGGUACCAGCAGAAGAAGCCCCGGCUAACUCCGUGCCAGCAGCCGCGGUAAUACGGAGGGGGCUAGCGUUGUUCGGAAUUACUGGGCGUAAAGCGCGCGUAGGCGGACCAGAAAGUUGGAGGUGAAAUUCCAGGGCUCAACCUUGGAACUGCCUUCAAAACUCCUGGUCUGGAGUUCGGGAGAGGUGAGUGGAAUGCCGAGUGUAGAGGUGAAAUUCGUAGAUAUUCGGAGGAACACCAGUGGCGAAGGCGGCUCACUGGCUCGAUACUGACGCUGAGGUGCGAAAGCGUGGGGAGCAAACAGGAUUAGAUACCCGUGUAGUCC